UCUGGCUCUACCUAAUAUUGCUGGAUAACUAAUAUAUGAGCAUAACCAAUAUAAUAUUCUUUAUAGGAGUUUCAUGGCCCCAUCCAAAUAAUUUCACAACAGCCAACCUCUGCCUCAGAGACACUGCAAAUGAUGCUAUUUCAAACUGGCAUGAUGGUGCAUGACUGCAAUCUCAGCAAUCAGAAGACUGAGGCAGGAUAACUGCUGCAAGUUUGAGGCCUGCCUGGGCUACAUAGCAAGAUCUUGUAUCAAGGACGAUGACGAUGACGAUCAACUGUGGACAUUUUAUAAGAUAUUUAUGACUCCCAUUCACUGACCACCUACUAUCGGGGCUGGCUCCAUGUUUGAUCAUUUACAUAUGCAAUCUCUUUCUUUCAAAAAGCCGACAGGUUGCAGGUGAUCCCAUGAGUCAAGUGGUGGAUAUCCAGGACCCGGCAGCAAGAUCAGCGCAACCUCCUAGCUUCUCUUUCUGACUCCAAUAGGGCAAUGAGCACGGAAAGAAGAAAGUAUCACUUCCCAACUUGGACAAAUAUUAAAAACUUCUGACUGGAAACUCAAUAGACUAUGGAUUCGGCUUCUUAACAGGGAUUUUUUAAAAUAUCUUGUUACUUUAGUCUGCAGUAGUCAAAAUUCAAAAAGCAACAACAACAACAACAAAGAAAAGCAAACUGAAAAGACCUGCCACAGAGGGCCUCUGAAAGCCUCUGCAGUAUAGACUGUCAAAGCAGAUGCUGAGCCUGAUGGACAACUGAUGGGCAGAGUGAAUGGAAUUUUAUGUAAGAAGUGGGAAAUAGUAAGAGCUGGAGGGGACAGGAACCCCACAAGGAGAGCAACAGAACAAGAUAAUUUGAACACAGGGAACUUCCCAGAGACUCAUACUCCAACCAAGGACUAUUCGUGGAGAUAACCUAGAACCCCUGCACAGAUGUAGCCCAUGGCAGUUCAGUGUCCAAGUGGGUUACAUAGUAAUGGAAAGAGGGACUGCCUCUGACAUAAUCUGAUUGGCCUGCUUGUUGAUCACCUCCCCCUGAGGGGGGAGCAGCCUUACCAGGCCACAGUAGAGGACAAUGCAGCCACUUUUGAUGAGAACUGAUAGACUAAGUUCAGAAAAGAGAGGAGAACCUCCCCUAUCAGUGGACUUGGGUAGUAGCAUGCAUGC